rnacentral:rRNA from 1 species
UACGUAGGGGGCUAGCGUUGUCCGGAAUCAUUGGGCGUAAAGCGCGUGUAGGCGGUUCGGUAAGUCCGCUGUGAAAGUCGGGGGCUCAACCCUCGAAAGCCGGUGGAUACUGUCGGGCUAGAGUACGGAAGAGGCGAGUGGAAUUCCCGGUGUAGUGGUGGAAUGCGUAGAUAUCGGGAGGAACACCAGUGGCGAAGGCGGUUGCCUGGAGCUUUGCUGACGCUGAUGCGCGAAAGCGUGGGGAGCGAUCCGG